AUCUAGACCUCUCUUCCUCUCCAUUGGCCCCAGUUAUUCAGACUUGAAGUGUUGGAGCCAUGUAAUGGGCUGAGGCUUGAGUUGAUGCACUGAGGUCCCAAGCACAUGAGGCUAAAUAGUAAUUGGACCAUACUCUAUUAAUAUAUAUGCUUGGAGAAAGAAUGGCCCCGCCCACUCUUUGUGAAAGUCCUGAUGUGUUGUAUAGGAAAUGACGAUUCUGGUGGGUGGAGGCAGGGGAAUGAAAAAGGAAGGGGAGGAGAGCUCAGACCUCUCUCUCUGCUAGCUGGUUAACAGUCGCAGCUGCCCAUAUUGCUAUCGCAAUCCUUCUUGCCCAUAUUGCUAUCGCAAUCUUUUUUCACCUCUUCACUUCAAUAAAGACUGAAGAUUUUUCCCUUAACCUGAGUUCCUGACUCCGGCUGACUUUAAAUACACAAUCAUUACAACUGGUGCCCAAGUGUGGGAACCAAGGACCCUACUUUCACUGAAGAAGUCUCCAGUGACCAGGAACUUAGAGAGACGGAGCAGACCCUUGAAACGAAGGAGAAGACCCAAGAAACAUCGGGUGGUUCUGUUGCUGAUUGUGCUCACCAUUGAAAGAAUGUGGCAGUUAUGGCGUUUGACUCAUGGACAUAGAAAAUCAUUGGACUUCAAAACCCUCAGAAAUCAUUGGAUUCUCUGAGACAUUAGAUUGUUGUAGGACUUUAAAUCCCUCAGGAAUCAUUGGAUUCUUUGAGACAUAAGACUUGAAAGCCCUCAGGAAUCAUUGGAUUCUCUGAGAAAUGAUAUGACUGUUACAGGACUUCAAAAUCUGCUGGAAUCAUUGGAUUCCCUAAGACAUAAAAAGACUUUUGCUGGACUUCAAAAACUUGGGGGGAUCAUUGGAUUCCCUGAUAUGUGAAGCAAUGGACAAUAGAUUGGUUUUGGACUAUCUCUUGGUUGCUGAAGAAGGUGCAUGUGUGACUGCUGUUUACAUACUCUCCUUCUAGGACUUCUGGCAAUCUUUUACAACACAAUGUUGAUUUAUAUUGUUUGUUAUACCAUUACUUGGGUGUAUAAUUCAUAUUUGUUACACCACAUCAAGCCUGCACUGACUGUGGGGAGAGUCAUCACUAAUAGCCUCUGCGUUGUUGCUAUGUGCUUGUGUAAUACUUCCCAUGCUGAUGGGUUUGUGCAUAAUAUGACCCUUCAGCCCAGAAACCUGCUAGCAACCCCCACUUCCCUUCAGUGCUUUCACCUCCUUUCCUGAGAAGUCAGGGAGGGUGUGAUCACCUCCCCUUGGGGGCUCUGACCUCCCUGAGGAGUCAGGGAUGGCAUGAUCACCUGUGUUCUAAAACAAAAGAAAGCGGGAGAUGUAAUGGGCUGAGGCUUGAGUUGAUGCACUGAGGUCCCAAGCACAUGAGGCUAAAUAGUAAUUGGACCAUACUCUAUUAAUAUAUAAGCUUGGAGAAAGAAUGGCCCCCGCCCAUUCUGGUGGGUGGAGGCAGGGGAGUGAAAAAGGAAGGGGAAGAGAGCGCAGAGCUCUCUCUCUCUGAUAGCUGGCUUCCUGUUGCAGCUGCCCAUAUUGCUAUCGCAAUCUUUUUUCACCUCUUCACUUCAAUAAAGACUGAAGAUUUUUCCCUUAACCUGAGUUCCUGACUCCGGGUGAUUUUAAAUACACGAUCAUUACAGAGCCAUCCUUUUUCUUUGCUAUGCACUCAAUUCUCCAUGGUAAUAUCUCUUAUAACUGUCCCUUUCUUUCUCAGUGUCCUGACUCUUCUUCUUAGUGCCUACAGGAAAAGAGUCUUAAAUGGUUCCCUUUGCCCUAGUCUUUCCUCUUCCAUCUAUAAUACCUUACAGCAGGAUUAAUAUUCUUACGGCAAUGUUUUGAUCAUUUCUAUCCUCUGAACUCUAGUCCAAGUUGUUGGAUAUUUUAAACUGAAAGUCCCUUAUUCAUUUCAAACUUACCUUCUCUCCACCUCAACUCUUACUUUUGCAAACUUCCCUGUUUCUUUCAAAGACACGACUAUCUUUAUAAUCUUCUAAAAUGGUAAUCUCAGCACUUUUGUCUACUUACUCUUUCCCAGCCCACAUAUCAAUCAAUUUCCAUGUCUUGACAUUUCUGUCUCAUGGCAUCUCUCACAUUUUUUUCUUUUUACUUCAUUUUUUCUUAUCAGGCUAACAACUUAUUCAGGUCUUUAUUGCCAUUCACUUAAGUUAUCACCAUAGUCUCCAAAAAUUUUCUCCCUGUUCUGAACAUCUUCUACUAUUUUGUCAAAGAGAUUUUCCUUAAGGGGAGAUAUGACUGUUACUCUCCAAUUCAAUCAAUUCCAGUGACUUCCUAUUGCCAGUAAGAUACAAUGUAAAUUUCUUUGUUAAGCUCUUCCAACUCUUUAAAAUCAGGGUCCAAUCAGUUUUUCUGGUUUCAUUGAACAUUAUUCUUCUUUCCACACAUUAACCUUUAACCCAAUUGUCCUUCUCUCUGAACAUCACAUACAGUAUUCAAUCUUCCAUCCAAUAUGUCUUACUAUUGCCUUUUUUUUUGGGGGGGUGUGUGGGGGUUGUUAAAUGACUUGCCCAGGGUCACACAGCUAAGAAGUGUUAAGUGUCUGAGACCAGAUUUUAACUCAGGUCCUCCUCACUUCAGAGCUUGUGUUUUAUCCACUGUGCCACUUAGCUGUCCCUAUUGGCCAUUUUAAAAAGCACAUCUUUAUCUGUGCUUCAGAGAAUCCCUUUCUUCCUUCAAGAAGUGAAAAUGCUGCUUUCUACAUUGAAGUUUUCCUGAUUCUCUUAACUGCUAUUAUUUUCCAUUUCAAAGCUCUCUUAUGUUAAUCUACUUUUUACUUAUUUGUAUUUAUUGUCUUUAUACUCAUUUUCUAUAUGUUUAUGUACAAUAUAUGCUUGUAUCUUCCAUUAGCAUUUAAAUUUGCAAAUAGGAAUUGUUUCUUUUUUUUUUUUUAACUUGUUUCCUUAGUGCCUGGCACAUAGUGGGAACUUAAUAAAUUUCCUAGUACUGAUAUUAUAAGUUCAAAGUUCUUACAGUGAACAAAUCAAGACCUUUUACAAACCUGGUUCUAAUUAACAUCUUUAAAAUCUCCAUGAAUCUUCUCCAGUUGAUCAUUAUCACAAAUUCUUAGCACUGGAAGGAAUUUUAGGGGCUCUAUAGUUCAAUUGGUGAAUGACCAAAAUUUUCUACUGCAUGUGUGGUCUUUGAAUUCUGUUAGCCCUUAGUGUUCAAAUUUGACAGUUUACCUCUGAAUCACAUUCCUUGAAUUCUUCUCUCCUACUAGCUGAAAAUAAUUCUCUUACCCCUUAAAUUUUCCUAGAACUCUUUGCACCAUCAUAUUAUGGUGUCCAACAAAAAAGUAGAUGCUUAAUAAAUGCUUGAUCAUG